rnacentral:tRNA from 1 species
GCCAGGGUGGUGUAGCGGUCAGCAUCCGGGACUGUGGAUCCCGUGACCCGGGUUCGAAUCCGGCGAAAACCGGCGGAGUUCCCGGCCCUGGCCCCA